UCAAUAAAUUGUUGCUAACAAUGAGACCCUGUAUAUAACUUUAACUGAUAUUUGAAAAAGAUGGUUGAUGAAUUGCGAUAUUUAUUGUUUAGUUCUUUUUUAGAGGAAGUCGCAGCCAUUUUGUUGGAUACGAGACCGGGAGUCUGGACCUGGAAGUCAUCGGGCUGGGGACCUGGAUCGGAACAGGAGCAGCUGUACUGGAAAGGAUACUGAGCAGGAAUCUCGAUAUAUGGAGCUGGGAUAUUGAAAAUAAAGCUGAGGAUUGGAUAGGCACAGAGGAAAAAGCAGUGGCGUUCCGUCGAUGUGCCCCGGGGUGAGUUUUUGAAUUUUAUUCAUAACCAAUAUACAUGUUGGUGCUUUUUUUUAUAGCGGUUUUUAGGUGCAUUUUAAAAUAGAUCGGACCAAUUAACCUACAGCCAUUUUUUUUCAUUUAAUUCA